GACAGAGGGGGCAAGCGUUGCUCGGAAUCACUGGGCGUAAAGGGCGCGUAGGCGGGGCCGCAAGUCGAUCGUGAAAUCCUUCGGCUCAACUGAAGGGGGUCGGUCGAUACUGCGGGUCUUGAGGGAUGCAGAGGAGACUGGAAUUCCCGGUGUAGCGGUGAAAUGUGUAGAGAUCGGGAAGAACAUCAGUGGCGAAGGCGGUCUGCUGGGCCGUUGCUGACGCUGAGGCGCGACAGCGUGGGGAGCGAACAGG
rnacentral:rRNA from 1 species